rnacentral:rRNA from 1 species
AGCGUAGGCGGAUUUUUAAGUGAGAUGUGAAAUACUCGGGCUUAACCUGAGUGCUGCAUUUCAAACUGGAAGUCUAGAGUGCAGGAGAGGAGAAGGGAAUUCCUAGUGUAGCGGUGAAAUGCGUAGAGAUUAGGAAGAACACCAGUGGCGAAGGCGCUUCUCUGGACUGUAACUGACGCUGAGGCUCGAAAGCUGGGGGAGCAAACA